rnacentral:rRNA from 1 species
CACGUAGGGUGCGAGCGUUGUCCGGAAUUAUUGGGCGUAAAGAGCUCGUAGGCGGUCUGUCGCGUCGGCUGUGAAAACCCGGAGCUCAACUCCGGGCCUGCAGUCGAUACGGGCAAACUGGAGUGUUGCAGGGGAGACUGGAAUUCCUGGUGUAGCGGUGAAAUGCGCAGAUAUCAGGAGGAACACCGGUGGCGAAGGCGGGUCUCUGGGCAACAACUGACGCUGAGGAGCGAAAGCGUGGGGAGCGAACAGG